rnacentral:lncRNA from 1 species
CCUAGGCCUCGACUGACACACACAAGGCACUACUCUCCCAGAGGGGUUCAGCAUGGUGCCCUCAGCCGAUCCUAGAGCCAAAGGGCCCAUGGACGAGCGUUGCUCAAUGUCUGCAGAGUGUUCCAGCAAGGUUCCCAGCUCAGACUCCAGCUUUGGAUAAAGAACACUAUUUCUUUAGUUAUUUAGCAAAAUUAAACUUUGUGUUAUCUGCUGCAAGAGCACCAAGGGGGAGAAAUCAGUUAAUUUUUUUUAAAUUUUGAGAUGGAGUCUUGCUAUGAAGUGAUGUGAUCUCGGCUCACUGCAACUUCUGCCUGCUGGGUUCAAGUGAUUCCCUGCCUUAGCCUCCCGAGUAGCUGGGACUCCAGGUGCCUGCCGCCACACUCAGCUAAUUUUUGUUUUGUUUUGUUUUGUUUUGUAAUUUUAGUAGAGACAUGGUUUCACCAUAUUGGCCAGGCUGGUCUCGAACUCCUGACCUCAGGUGAUCCACCUGCCUCGGCCUCCCAAAGUGCUGGGAUUACAGACGUGAGCCACCGAGCCUGGCCAAAUCAGUUAAUUAUAUUAGUAUUUACGUGGUCUUAAGAUCUUAGCUUAAUGAACCAAAUGUGAUUUGUCAAAAUUGACAACUGGGAAGGAAGGCCAAGAAUCUGAAAGAAAGACCAGAGAUUAUGCACAAACUGGAACAGCAGAAUGAUAAUCAUUUUAUCUCGUGGAUCUGGUCCUGUUUCCAGUAGUCACACUGCUCUGGCAUGGUGCUGGCAUCAACUCUUCAUAAAACUGCCAGAUCCAGAUCUUAGCCAACGUUAAAUUCUUGGCGAGGGCCUUGCGAACCUUCUUAGAAAUUACCUUACAAUCUUAACAACCAGAAGAAAAAAAAUAAAGGUGAACCUUGUUCAUGAUGAUCUGAAUGAACAGAAUUAUUUCACCACAUCCUUUCUGGAAAUUGUUUCAUUAUAUUUUCAGAGCAACUACUAUUCUAUGUGUAAUUUUUAUAAAACAAAACAAAACUAAAUCAAAAGUACAGGGCCAAAUAAAAAGAGUUGAAAAGAAAGCUUGGCCUAUUUAACUUUGGUUAUAGAUGGGCAGAAGAUAAGAAAAAAUGUAUUGGGUUUGCUAUCAAUGUGAAAGGGAACUAAUUCCUUAUAAUAAGGAAUUUUAUGAGAGAGAGAGAGAGAGCACUUAAAACUAUAUUCCUGGUUGGUAUGUGG